CACGUUUUAGUGUUUUAACAUGAAGGUUUUCGCCCUGACUUACCAUCUGCCAGUCACCCUCUCUCCACCGGUACCGAGAAGGACAAUCUGCGACGCGGCAGCUCUGGCUGGACGGCGGCCGGGAGCGAUGAGGACAGCCGGUCUCCAGAGGGCUACGACGCUCUCCAACCUGGCAGAAAACCUCCCGUCUCUGGAGGCCAUCCCCACACGAAGCUGAACACUAAAACAAGAUGUUGCUGCUUCAAGUCAGUAUGGACUGCAAUGCAAUUCUGUUGGAUCACAUUUAAACAUCUGUUUCUGUGUUUUAGUUUAAAAUGUGCACACGAAUCAAGAAAAAUAUACAAUUUCCCAAACUGUGUCUCCAAAUGUGAGGAGCAUUUUUUGUUAGGGUUACAUUUAAUUAUUCAUUGUUUUGUUCUUUUGGCAUGUGUCCUGCUCCAGAGCUGUUUUAAGGAUAAAUGCAUCCUCUCUUGGCGUAUGGAGCACAUUUCUGUGUCUGUGCUCGAAUCUGUGAGGUGAAUUUGUAGAAAGAGAUGGAGAAAAUGAAAUAAAAUGAGUUAAAGAGGGGAACAAGCACAGCACAGACACCCAGGUGCAUUUUGUGAGUUUGUCUGGCUCGCUGACGUGAGCAAACAGCCUCAAGGAAAAGACCAACAUGUGGUUCCCAUUGUGGAGGCUCAGGCAACAGCGAGAAGAUAAAAGACAGAGAGGAGAAGAAGGUGAGGGACAGAGGAUGAGGGAUAGGUGAGAGGGGGAGACUUCCAGUGGACGUGAGCUCAAAGACAGGAGUUCACAUCCCUCCAACUGUUCGACUGUCUGUACUGAGGUGUCUCAUCCACACCAGCCUGCACCAUCUCAACCUCUCUGUUCUCUGACAGCAACAAUGUGAGGUGUACAGGCUCCCUAUUUCGGUUGUUAGAGUAGUUCAUAAAUGUUGCCAGGCCGAGCUGCAACAUGUUUCAAACACAUGGACAUCCUUGGGAACAAGCUAAGCAUUAAACUGUAAAAAGCAAAAGGAGGUGGGUGGAAAAAUGCUGACAUGUCUGGCAGCGUGAGAACAAAAAGACGUGUUUUUGUCCAAGAGUCCUAACCUCUCCCCAGCUGCCAGUCUUCCACUUGGGGCAUUGUCCACCUUUGCAGCGCUUCUGCUUGCUGGGUUUGGAGGACAAGCGAUGACAGCUUUCCUCUGGGAUCGAACGCCCGGACCCGUUCACACAGCUCACCCUACGGGACUUGAAGCCUCUUCCGCAGGAGGCAGAACACUGCAACAUAGAAGAGGAUUGGAAAAGCAGAAGUGUGUUUUAUUCUUAAGGGUUUGGUUCAGAAAAGGGUGAAUAGUGAAAAACGUAUAUCACAAAACUUAGAUGUAAAUGUGCAUGUUGUCCACCAGCACAGCUGACCCGGCAGCAGUUUCUUUCAUGUCCGGUUCGCAGAGUUACUGACAGUCUAACACACGGCGAGACACAAUCACACAGACACAGCAGUGCUACAGGACGGAGUGGAGCUGGGCUCGGAUUAUCAAAGGGGCGCUGCACGUGGGGAUGGAUAUGAUGCGACAGGCUCAGAGUUGAACGAGUACACGGCCCAGCGUGUGGUUUUAUCCUGACCGGCAAAGGACUUUAGAGGACAGGAACACGCUGCAACCUCUCACCCCACCCAAAGGGAAGGGUUCUUACAAAGGAAGGAGCGUGUAAACCGUAUUCUUCUUCACAGUGAAAAGCAGUCAAGGUAACCUGAACGUGCUGGAUUUGUGUGAAUCAAACUAAUGAAUGAAAUGUUAACUAAAAUGUUCUGAAGUGAUUGUUUGGGCAAUAUUGUGCUUAAAUGAAAAUAAAAAUGUUUUAUUGUU